CCCACUCCAUUUUUCAGAAAAAGAGAACUCUCUCUUUGUUCUCUCCAUUCCUUCCCCAUCCGGCAACGCCGCCGGCCACCAGCACCCUGUCUCCGCCGUGGGCGGUGGUCAGAGUGAUAAAAAUGGUUUUUGAACCCCAUUUCAAAAGCUGAAAGAAGGCCGAGCCUUCAUAGACCGAAGGCCAAAGGGAAAGAUCCCUGCGCCCUCUCUCGGUCCGUGUAAGGCGACAGAGAACCACCCUCCGACAGUGCGGUCACAGGGCGUCUCCGGUGGCUGAUGGGCACAAGUGGGGCAAUGGGACAUCCGGCGGUGGCCGAAGCUGCUGGUGAUGCGACAGGAGUGCGGCGGCCAGGAGCUAGGGUUUCAGAAAAGCUGAAACCCUAGUUUGACUUUGGUUUCUGCGUUUGGGUUUGUUGGGCCUUGGGUGUUGGGUUUGAUUGGGGUUGUGGUGUAAUGGGUUGGUAUUGGUUUUGUUGGUAUGGGCCCGGGCUAAAAUUGGGCUUGUACAUUAAUCUUAUUUAAUUAUUUUAAUAAUACAUGGACUAAAUUAAUUCAUUUCAUAAUAGAA